ACUCGGGUUAGGAAGCGGAUCUCGCAAGCUCCGAGCGUCAGCUGCCGGUUCGGUGCCAUGGCGUCCCAGGGUCGUCGGCGGAGGCCCCUGCGGAGGCCGGAGACGGUGGUGCCGGGGGAGGCGACCGAGACGGAUUCCGAGCGCUCUGCGUCCUCGUCGGAGGAGGAGGAGCUGUACCUGGGUCCUUCGGGCCCGACGCGCGGCCGCCCCACGGGGCUGCGGGUGGCUGGGGAAGCCGCGGAGACCGACUCGGAGCCGGAGCCGGAGCCGGAACCGACGGCCGCGCCGAGGGACCUGCCUCCACUCGUGGUGCAGCGGGAAUCGGCGGAGGAGGCCUGGGGCACGGAGGAGGCCCCGGCGCCCGCCCCCGCGCGCUCGCUCCUGCAACUUCGGCUGGCGGAGAGCCAGGCGCGGCUGGACCACGACGUGGCGGCCGCCGUGAGCGGUGUCUACCGCCGUGCAGGCCGCGACGUGGCCGCCCUGGCUAGUAGGCUGGCGGCAGCCCAGGCGGCGGGGCUGGCGGCGGCCCACAGCGUGCGCCUGGCGCGCGGGGACCUUUGUGCGCUGGCCGAGCGUCUGGACAUCGUGGCUGGCUGCCGCCUGCUGCCGGACAUCCGCGGCGUGCCAGGGACCGAGCCUGAGAAAGACCCGGGGCCGCGGGCCUAGCCAUGAUUCUACUUCCCAACCUGACUGCAAUUUGGGGAGCGGCUUCACAGCAGGACCACAGGAGUCAUUGUGGCCAACUUCGCUGGAGGCUUGGAGAUCUUUGGGGCCAUUAAGGCAGAGCUGCAGGGCCUAGAGAUUGAGAUGCUGGUGAACAAUGUGGCAUGCUGUAUGCGCAGGGACGCUUGAGGAAGCUGCUCGACUGUGAGAAUGUCGCCAGAGUGAAACAGAGUCCUAGCCCACCUGGCACCUCUUCCUCCAACUCUUUACUGCCCUCUGUUGGAAAACUCGCGUAAUAUACAAAGGAGUCUCUCUCUGUGGCCACCACUGCUCCAGGCCCAUGGCAGGUACUGCCUGGCUACUGCUGAUGUUCACUCAAGGCCCAGGCCCUCUUCAGUCAGCUUGUGGUGAGUGCUGCCAGGCCUGGGUCUUUUCCUUCAGGGAAGACAGCUCCCCUCUAGCCCAGGGCAGGUCCAGAAAUGCUGUGCAAGAGCCAAGACCUCAAUUGGGGAUGCCAGCAGCUGCUGGGUGCUCUACCCUACUGUGGCCAAGCUGGUGUCCAAGAUGCAAGACAAAGUCUCCUUUACUCUUUCCUCUCCUUUCCUCAAGCAGGAGUCUUUCCCCAGGGCCACCACAGCUGGGAAUGCGCUGGGUCACACCUGAAAUCAGCACGGCACUGGGUCUCACCCAAGGCCUGCGGCGAGCACUCUCUGGCAACCACUGAUGUUUAUUCAAGGCCCAAGAGAUCUUUAGUCAGCAAGUAAUGAAUCCUGCCAGGACUGGGUCCUUCCUUUCAAGGCAGCGGCUUCCCUUCUGGUCCAGGGUGUGUCCAAAAAUGUCAUCCAGGAGUUAGGGCCUGGAAUGGGGGCCUCAGGACUCCGCCUGGUGCCCUAUCCUCCUAUGGCUGAGCUGGUAUCCAAGUUGCAAAACAAAGACCUCUUGACUUUUCGUCUCCUCUUCUCAAGCAGAAGGAAGGAGUCUCUCCCGGAACUGCAAGCUAUACUGCCUGGGGUUUGGGGCUCGGGGGCUCAAGCACUCCCUUGGCUGCCUCAGCCAAUGUCUCAGUGGGCCUCAUGCCCUCCAGGUCCACUUGUUCUGAGCCCAGCAAGGCACCAGGACUUGCCCAGAAAUUGCAGUCCUUGUGGCCUGACUGCCUUUCAAGUUUAUUUAUUUAUUUAUUUAUUUAUUUAUUUGAGAUGGAGUCUUGCUGUUGUCCGGGCUGGAGUGCAAUGACGUGCUCUCGGCUCACUGCAAUCUCUGCCUCUUGGGUUCAAGCGAUUCUCCUGCCUCAGCCUCCUAAGUAGCUGGGAUUACAGGCGUGCGCCACCAUUCCCAGCUAAUUUUUGUAUUUUUAGUAGAGACGGGGUUUCACCAUGUUGGUGAGGCUGGUCUCGAACUCCUGACCUCGUGAUCCGCCUGCCUAAGCUUCCCAAAGUGCUGGGAUUACAGGCAUGAGCCACCGCGCCCAGCCUCAAGUUGAUUUAGGGUCCCAGAGCACUUUGGCCCGCAGUGGCUAGGCAUGCCAGAACUCAGGUUCUCACCACUAGAAUAGAUGAUUUCCCUCUGUCUAAUGAUCAUUUAAAUGCUCCCUCCAUGGGUGGUGUCUGAUUUCUGCCCCAUGGUGCUUUCCACUGUAAUAGAACAGCGCUGAGUUCCAAUGCAAAGCCUCAAAUCAGUCACUGAGCUCUCCCUACCCCAAAUGCACAGAUUCUCUCUCCUUGCCAUCUGACUGCUGCCAGGAGAUGUGGGAGGGGUGGCAUUUUGGGGUAGCACCUCACCCCAAAAGCCCAUUGGCUUAAAAUAGCAGUCCCAUCCCAAAAUCUCAAACCACCCCAAAAGCUCAUUGGCUUAAAAUAGCAGUCAAAUAUGACAUCUCAUGGUUCAGUAGGUUAAGUGGGUUUAACCAGUCGAUUCUUUUUUUUUUGAGAUGGAGUCUCACUAUGUCGCCCAGGUUGGAGUGCAGUGGCGCAAUCUUGGCUCACUGCAAUCUCUGCCUCCCCGGUUCAAGCAAUUCUCCUGCCUCAGCCUCCCGAGUAGCUGGGAUUACAGGUGCUGGCUACCACACCCGGCUGAUUUUUGUUUUGCCUUUUUUUUUUUUUUUUUCUGAGAUGGAGUUUUGCUCUUGUUGUCCAGGCUGGACUGCAAUGGUGUGAUCUCGGUUUACUGCAAACCUCCGCCUCCUGGGUUCAAGCGAUUCUCCUGCCUCAGCCUCCCGAGUAGCUGGGAUGACAGGCACCCACCACCAUGCCCCAGCUAAUUUUUUUGUAUUUUCAGUAGAGACAGGGUUUCACCAAGUUGGCUAGGCUGGUCUUGAACCCCUGACCUCAGGUGAUCCAUGUGCCUCAGCCUCCCAAAAUGCUGGGAUUACAGGUGUGAGCUACUGCACCCUGCCAAAUGAGCCAAUGAUUGGGUGGAGUUUCUCAACUAGUUGCAUUCAGAUGGCAGCUGGGGCUGGAGUCAUCCAAAGGCUCAGCUGGGCUGGAAAUCCAAGAUGGCGUCUUACAUGUCUGACAUCUCAGUUGGGAUGGCUAGAUCAGCUGCGGCUGACCAGUUAUCUAUCUCUCUCUCCAUGCUGCCUCUUGCCAUGCCCAGCUUCAGCUUCUGCAUAGCAUGGCAGUCUCAGGAUAUUCAGAAUUUUUUUUUUUUCCCCAGAUGGAAUCUCACUCUGCCACCAAGGCUAGAGUGCAGUGGCAUGAUCUUGGCUCACUGCAACCUCCACCUCCAGGGUUCAAGUGAUUCUCGUGCCUCAGCCUCCUGAGUAGCUGGGAUUACAGGCAUGCACCACCAUGCCUGGUUAAUUUUUUUGUAUUUUUAGUAGAGACAGGGUUUCUCCAUGUUUGCUAGGCUGGUCUCAAACUCCUGACCUCGCGUAAUCCCCCCACCUUGGCCUCCCAAAGUGCUAGGAUUACAUGUGUGAGCUGCCAUGCCUGGCUGAAAAUAAUAGAUUUAUACCUAACCAUACUAAUAAUUGCAUUGACUCUAAAUUAUGUAAACAUCCAAUUAUAAGACAGAGAUUUCAGACUAAAUGAAAAAGCAUGACCCAACUCUAUGCUGCCCACAAGAAAUUGUGUGUGUGUGUGUGUGAGACGGAGUCUUGCACUGUCGCCCAGACUGGAGUACAGUGGCAU